rnacentral:piRNA from 1 species
UGUUGUUGUUCACAUGAGUACUUUUA